rnacentral:rRNA from 1 species
AUUGAACGCUGGCGGCAGGCCUAACACAUGCAAGUCGAGCGGAUGAAGGGAGCUUGCUCCUGGAUUCAGCGGCGGACGGGUGAGUAAUGCCUAGGAAUCUGCCUGGUAGUGGGGGAUAACGUCCGGAAACGGGCGCUAAUACCGCAUACGUCCUGAGGGAGAAAGUGGGGGAUCUUCGGACCUCACGCUAUCAGAUGAGCCUAGGUCUGAUUAGCUAGUUGGUGGGGUAAAGGCCUACCAAGGCGACGAUCCGUAACUGGGCUGAGGGGAUGAUCAGUCACACUGGAGCUGAGACACGGUCCUGACUCCUACGGGAGGCAGCAGGUGGGAAUAUUGGAAAAUGGGCGAAAGCCUGAACCAGCCAUGCCGCGUGGGUGAAGAAGGUCUUCGGAUUGUAAAGCACUUUAAGUUGGGAGGAAGGGCAGUAAGUUAAUACCUGGCUGUUUUGACGUUACCAACAGAAUAAGCACCGGCUAACUUCGU